AUUGAACGCUGGCGGCAGGCCUAACACAUGCAAGUCGAGCGGUUGAGAGUAGCUUGCUACUUGAUGCAGCGGCGGACGGGUGAGUAAUGCAUGGGAAUCUGCCUGGUAGUGGGGGACAACGUUUCGAAAGGAACGCUAAUACCGCAUACGCCCUACGGGGAAAGGGGGGGAGUCUUCGGACCUCUCGCUAUCAGAUGAGCCCAUGUCAGAUUAGCUAGUUGGGGGGGUAAAGGCCCACCAAGGCGACGAUCUGUAACUGGUCUGAGAGGAUGAUCAGUCACACUGGAACUGAGACACGGUCCAGACUCCUACGGGAGCAGCAGUGGGAAUAUUGGACAAUGGGCGAAAGCCUGAUCCAGCCAUGCCGCGUGUGUGAAGAAGGCCUUCGGUUGUAACUGCUUUGUCCGGGGAGUAAAAGAAGUACCAUGCGUGG
rnacentral:rRNA from 1 species